rnacentral:rRNA from 1 species
GCCAGACUCCUACGGGAGGCAGCAGUGGGGAAUAUCGCACAAUGGGGGAAACCCUGAUGCAGCGACGCCGCGUGAGCGAGGAAGUAUUUCGGUAUGUAAAGCUCUGUCAGCAGGGAAGAAGAAUGACGGUACCUGAAGAAGAAGCACCGGCUAAAUACGUGCCAGCAGCCGCGGUAAUACGUAUGGUGCAAGCGUUAUCCGGAUUUACUGGGUGUAAAGGGAGCGCAGGCGGUUCUGCAAGUCUGAUGUGAAAGCCCGGGGCUCAACCGCGGGACUGCAUUGGAAACUGCGGGACCGGAGUGUCGGAGGGGUAAGCGGAAUUCCUGGUGUAGCGGUGAAAUGCGUAGAUAUCAGGAGGAACACCGGUGGCGAAGGCGGCUUACUGGACGAUGACUGACGCUGAGGCUCGAAAGCGUGGGGAGCAAACAGGAUUAGAUACCCUGGUA